ACGCCUCCUGUCUGCGCGCACAGGAGCGCGCUCUGCUGCCCUCCCUGGCCGCGCAGCAUCCCGAGCCGCCGCCUUCGCGCUCUCCAGGCGGGUCAGCCCCUUGCCGGACUGUGGAGGUGGGCGAUGAUCCAACCCGUGAGGAUCCUCCAGUCUCUGCCGAGCACCGUGACUUCUGGGGGGACGCAGGAGAGACACAGGGCACGCAGACUUCAACUGGGUUGACCUUCACUCCCUUUCAGGGCACCAGAGCCCGGAGCACCCGACUCUGCCCACCACCGGGAGGAACCUAGAGAGCGCUCGCCCGGUGGACAACUCGCCAGGCAGACUCUGGGAGUGAGUUGGGAGAGCCAGUGCCUUGGAGAGGUGGCAUGGAGCGUGUGGGUGCGCCAGGAGCCCUCACCCCGAACAGCUAAGUACAGCGUGGCGGGAGGGAGAGGCUCAGAGCAACAGGUAGGGUCGGGAGCCACUCCAGGGGCAAAGGAGCGCAGCCAACAAGUACCCAGAGUCCCUAAGGCGCAGGGAGGGCUCUCUCCACUUGCAGACGGCAGCAGGCGCGUUCCCUCCUCUCCAGCUUGGUGACCGCACAGCGGUCGGUCGGUCGGAGGCACCCAGUAGUCUGGGGGACCUCUGGGAUCUCAACCAUCUCCGGUUUGGGUCCGCAAGACCCGGCACCCAGGCACGCCACGCACUGCUAUCGAUCCAAACGUCCCUAGUCCUGUUCAUCCAGGGAGGAUCCCUAGGAAAGUCGAGCGAGCGCUCAGUGCUCUGGGCUGGAAUCCCCCCGGCGACUCCAGCGCCUGCUUUCCCAGGCAAGCACUCCUUUUUGUGCGCCCCGCCACCCUGCUCUCCAGCGGGUAAUGGAGUUGGCGACUGCGAACUUCAGUGAGGGGAACGCGAGCGGGCCUGAACCUCCCACCGCGGAGGCACCUCCGCUCUUCGGCAUCGGCGUGGAGAACUUCGUCACGCUGGUGGUGUUCAGCCUGAUCUUCGCGCUGGGCGUGCUGGGCAACAGCCUGGUGAUCACAGUGCUGGCGCGGAGCAAGCCCGGCAAGCCGCGCAGCACCACCAACCUGUUCAUCCUCAACCUGAGCAUCGCCGACCUGGCCUACCUGCUCUUCUGUAUUCCUUUCCAGGCCACCGUGUACGUGCUGCCCACCUGGGUGCUGGGCGCCUUCAUCUGCAAGUUCAUCCACUACUUCUUCACGGUGUCCAUGUUGGUCAGCAUCUUCACCCUGGCCGCGAUGUCGGUGGACCGCUACGUGGCCAUUGUGCACUCUCGGCGCUCCUCCUCCCUGAGGGUGUCCCGCAAUGCGCUGCUGGGCGUGGGCUUCAUCUGGACACUGUCGAUUGCCAUGGCCUCACCUGUGGCCUACCACCAGGGCCUCUUCCGGGACGUCAGCAAUCAGACCUUCUGCUGGGAAGAGUGGACCAACAAGAGCCACAAGAAGGCCUACGUGGUGUGCACCUUCGUCUUUGGCUACUUGUUGCCGCUGCUGCUGAUCUGCUUCUGCUACGCCAAGGUCCUUACUCAUUUGCAUAAAAAGCUGAAGAACAUGUCAAAGAAGUCAGAAACGUCCAAGAAAAAGACGGCGCAGACGGUCCUGGUGGUGGUGGUGGUGUUUGGGAUAUCUUGGCUGCCCCACCACGUCGUCCAUCUCUGGGCCGAGUUCGGGGUCUUCCCGCUGACCCAGGCCUCCUUCUUCUUCAGGAUCGCCGCCCACUGCCUGGCCUACAGCAACUCCUCCGUGAACCCCAUCAUCUACGCCUUUCUCUCCGAGAACUUCAGGAAGGCCUACAAGCAAGUGUUCAGGUGCCACGUCCACAACGAGUCACCGCCCAGUGACAACAGAGAGACCAGAAGUCGAGUGGACACCCCUCCGUCCACCAACUGCACUCACGUGUGAGCCCAGGCCCCGCUCUCCCGGGGCGAGCCCACCCAGGCCCUGGGCGGCCUCCGCGGUUCCCACCUUUCAGAUGCGUGUUCAAGAGUAACUCUGACCCACUUAGGAACUCCCAGGUUCAGUGAAGAGCAUUCUUCAGUCUUAUUUUCUUCCUAAAUUGUAAUUCAGAAACAAAACAAAAAGGCCAACCAGUUCUAGACCUCUUAAAGAGGUCAGUAGAGUUCUAUAAUGUGUUCAAUUCUUCAUGAGAUAAGAACAGGCCCCAUAAAUAGAGUGAAGAAUAUUUGCAAUCUACAUUUUAAAGUAGAUUUAUUUAGAAAAAAAACUUUGGUGUUUUAAUCCUCAGUUUUAAGAGAAGUCAUAUUAGAAGCCGUGUGUUUUAAAGUAUGGUUGUGCACGUAGAGUGAUGACUGUCAUCCUUCAGCCGUUUACACACGUCUGCACUGUGGAAAGAGGCCCCCUGGAGUCUGUGGAGUGGGUGGCCUCUGCUCCCCUCCUCAGCCGCAGGCAGACCUUCUGCGGAUAGGCUGCACCUGUCUGUGACCCCGAGGCCAUCAAGUCCACCUCAAGAGGACAGUGCAGGCUGGGGCAGGAGCUCUGUCCCUGAACUUGGGCUCUUGUGGUUCACUGUGUGGACUAGAGGAAGGGGUGCUGUGCUCCGCAUGUGGGAGCUGCACAGGACGUCUCGCAGGCUGGCGCUGAGGUUUGGCGUGAGCAGCUGGCGAAGCCCGGAGCUGGGCCUGCAGCGGAGCCACCAUGAGGGCUUAGAGAGUCGGUGAGGACGAUGUGGAGACAGCAGGUCAUUGGGCAGAGGUUGGAUCAGUAAGUCCCACGAGCCGUGGUCUUGCCAUGUGGACAAGGCAUGCUCAUUGUUUGAUUAAACAUCAUUAGAUGAAAACAAACCUCAUGAAAGAAAAUACCAGAAACAUCCCGUCUUAUAUGAAAAUAGGCUUUUUCAUCAAAUUUGUACCAAUGUUUAAUGUAUUUUUCACCAAAUAUCAUUCCCUCUGGUAAUGUUGAUUUGGAGUUAAGACCUUCACAUUUGAGUUCUAAAUGUGAUUUUCACAAGAAUUUCAUGUUUAUUCAUGUUAACAAUGAGAAAACGAUAUGGACUAUCAAAUCGUGUGUACUAGGAAAGUCAUUUUCAGGUGCAAGACUAGUGUAUUUUUGGACACUAAAACAGGGAGAUUUCUUGUGAAAAGGAUAUUGUGUAACAUAUGCCUGUGUCAAAUCAGAACUCCAUGUGAAAUGUAAAAUUUUAGAUUGAAAAACCCAGGUUCAGCGGGAGCCUUUGGCACUCUAACUUUGCUAGUUCAUAACUAUACCCCCCCGGUGCACAGGGUUAACCUUUGGAAAGGUGUAAGUAACUCUGGACAGAAUAGGAGAAAAUUGUUAAGAUGAUGAGAAAUUAUGAGGUUUCAUGUUUAUUCUAGGAAAGGAGGUGGGAUGGGUGGAGGUGAAAGAGCUUUGUAAGUCCUGUGCAUGGGCAGUUUUUGUACUUUAUGGAAAUACGGGAGCAGAAAAUUAGCAUCCUGGGGAUGAGACCCCAUGGGACUGGGGAGCGGGAAGCUGCCGCUGCAGACCUGCAGACCACGGGACCAGCCUGUGCACGGGCCACGCUGUGGAGUACUGCCUGUGCGCUGACCUGCUUGCCUGGGCUUCGCUUCGGUUCACAGCAUUUGAAUGGACUGUUGAAAACACAGGGGUGAUGCUGCUUCUCUUGGAUCGUGAGUGAGCCUCCUUCAGGGUCUAUUUCCCCUGUUCCUGCAUUGCCUUGGUCCUCCCCGGAUGCUGCUGGUCCAGCACAGGCUCGAGUAAUAAUGCACUUGCACCCCCACCCACCCCGGUUUGCUUUACAUAUGAGCAAGCUGCGGAACAUGAAUGCAGACUGCUACACUUAAUGCUUAGGUAGGAUGUUCUUCCUGCACAUUGCCAUUCCAGUCAGUUGCUCCUAUUUUGAGUUUAGGUCGAGUCUUCUUCUAAAACAAAUUUGAGCAUGGGCAGUAGCUUCCUUCCUGCAGUGAUCUAAACCUAUGUGAAAUGAUCUGAAUGGGUGGUUCUGGGCGCUCUGUGGCAGAGCUGUUACCUGGAGAAGCAUAGGAGCCCUGUGCUGCUGCCGGGCGUUUGCAGGUGUUGUCCCUAAUAUUAAUUACCAUGCCUGGUGUGGAAGUGCCUUCCUUUGUACGACUGAGCUGCGAGGCCUUUGUGCGUCUGGGAGAGGUGUACCUCUCCUUCAGACAGCCAGGCAGUGAGGAGGUGCUGCCUGUGCCUUUGAAGUCAGGCUGUGAGAACCACGCUUUCAGUGUACUUCAAAGAGAACUGAGGCUUUCUGCCCAGGUUUGGCUGCUUCAGGGCUCCAAACAGCUGCCACUUUUCUGUGAUUUUUGCUUUCACAUUGGGAAACAGAUGGGUUCGGGAAUAUUUAAACAGAUGAAAUGCUUGCUCUUUUAUGUGUGCAGAUGACAACUCUGGUUUCCCACUGAUGAACAUGGUGAUGUGGGUGGGAACGCUCUCCUAUUUCACCUUCCUAGGAGAUACCCUUAAAGAGUCAUUCUGGGUUAUUCUGAUCACGCAUGAGCUCAGCAGCAUGGCAGACUAAGGCCAGUUUCAGGAUAGUUUAGGACAAUCACUUUUGCUUGAUCUACAGUGUUUUAUUUUACACAUUGGGAGUAAAGUCAUCAUUUCCUGUCCCCUCCCCAGCCUCCUGUCUCUCAUCUUUUUCUCUCUGCUAGCUUCUUGCCGUGUUCAUCACCCUGAUGCUUACCCUGGUUGCAUUCCUCCAACCCUGAUGGUGUGAGUCAGUGGAGAGCAGCGGGGAUGUCUGCAUCCCAUGAGUCACACAGGGUGCAGACUUCUUGUGACUCAGCUUUGAGUCCUGCUGCUGGUCCUCUCGGGUGCACGGACACCUGCAGUGAUAAUUCUACUGCUCACAGAAUCGGAGACUGGCAGCCUCUGUGCAGGGGAGGACAGCACACCUGAGCCUUGGCUCCCUUCCCCUGUGGCCACAGAGACCUGGCAGAGCUCACGGGCUGGGGUUGGAGAGCACUGCCCUGAGGAAAGCCAGGUGCCGCCAGCUUCCUCAUGCUUCAGUGACUUGCCACAUCCAUGCGUGUGACUCACGCAGCCAGGCAACUGGGUGAAUGCACCCGUGUGGCUUCUUCCCGGGAAACUCCCGUCUGCCCAGUGUGAAUUCCAUUCGCCUGGGCUGCAAAUGUCUCCUAUGUGUUAAAGCGGCUUGUCGGUGGCUGUUGGAGGGAAUCAGAUUCUUUUUGCCUGUUAAGAUGUUGCACAUUAGGUUUCUUCUCAAUUAGAUGCUAAUGACCUGUUCAUGACUUGCUUAUUUUAUGACUGCAGAUAGAGUGAAAUUCUUAAAUUCUCAUCCUAAUCUGUUGGCAUGGAAAUAAAAAUGAUCAUAUGGCAAUUAUACCAGGUUUUAAUUGACAGCGAAUUUCGUGUUUUCUCCCUUGGAAGUGGAGAAGCUGAGCCUGAAGUACCAUUUGGGAUGCUCAGACACCUUUGCUACGGUGUGCCUGGAUAGGGGGAGCGUAUCUACUGUCUCUGAUAUUGGCAUUGUGAUGCAUUGGUCAGGGGCGUGGCUUGCUUGCUGGUGAGGGUGUCCUUUUCUUGGUGUGGCAGGCUGGCCUGCCAUCCUGGCGUUCUGAGGCCACCAUAUCUACUUCCUGAGCCAGCUGUAGAAAUGCCAGCAGGCCCCGAGCAGAUGCUUCUCUGCAGGACUCAGUGCUGCCCGUGCAGUGGCUGAUCUCAGGGGCCUUCAGUCAGAUGCUUCUCCCGACGGGCUUUGUGCCCCCGAGAACUGGUUCCUGGGAGUGGUGGGCCUGUGUCCUUACUUCUGCGAUGGUGUCACUCAAAGCCAGCGUCGGCCAGCAGCAGGAGAAAGAUCCCAGCUGUGGUUUCAGAGGCAGCGGCAGCAGUGCUAGGCUCUGGUCUCCUUAGGAGAAGGUCCUCAGCUUCACAGAGCCCCAGCAUCCCCGGGGGCUGGUCAGCAGACUGCUGGGCACGCCUCCUGGUUGGCACCGGGGUGGGCUGGAGUGAGGUCUGAGAUGUGCAUCCUCUUGGUGAGUCAGUGCUGCUGGCCCAGAGGCCGGGUUUUGAGAACCACUAGCUGGUGACUGGUCAGGAGGUGAGGCAGCCCAGGGUCUGUGGUAUUUGCCGUAUGGCCUCCACCUGCACUCCCAGAGUCAAGGACUUUCCAGGUUGAGAGAUGGGCCUUCACAGGUCUCAGCUUCUGUGGUUCUGUGGGAAAAGGAAAUUGCAGGGGAUUUAAAUCACUCGUUUUUUAUUGUUUACAUUGAUUGGAUUCACAAUAUCUGUUCAAAUACCACGUCACGCCUGCCACAGAACUGGGGUGUCCAAGAGCAGGAGGGAUUGGAUGGCCCGCCCUGGAGGUUUAGAGCUGAUGGCAGAAAGGAAAGGGGCACCUCUGCAUUCACUCUGCCCACCACACAAAGGUCAAAAUGGCUGCGAAUGGAGUUUUGAACGGGAUGUUUAGUGUUUUAACUUAAUGUUUAAAUUAAAUAUGUGCAUGUUUUUCUAUGUGGCUGUUAGUUUUUGCUGUCGUUAUUCUCUACGAGAGGUAAAUGUAAUAUUCUUUAUCAUUAUAACUUUUGCUUAAACAUUCCCUGAUAACAUAAGUGGUGUGAGCAAGGAAAACCAUCCGUGUGUGUUGUGUUUUGAUUUCCCUGACCUGUGGCUGCUCACACGCUGCUGUACAGAUCAUGCUGGACCCGGUCUCCCGACGGUGGGUGCUGCGGCUCUCACCCUCUAAGGAACCGGGUGCAGACUCAUCUCAUCGCUGUUAGCUCCAGAAUGAACGCCCCAGGCUCAAAGCCCGAACCCAGAACUAAGAGUUCAACUUCGUCCUUUGACCACCACAGAGUCACUCUGAGUCACCCUACCUCUGUGCGCUGCAUGACAUCUGGCUGGACUUUGUGAUUUGAACCCAUUUUCUUUGAUUGAAAUAAAGUUUGUUCUUCAAAGCGUUUAGUUUAAGAGUGUGCUUCCCCCCAUUUCAUAAGGCACUUCCCCGAAUACGGGGCCCAAUCUGCCGAUGUGAAUGAAGUUAGCUUCAUCAUUAUGGGAUGCCCGUAUGGAGGGUAGGACAAAUCGUGUUGGCGGAAAAUUGACACUUCUAUCUGUAAAUGUUUUCUUCUUUCCCUUCUCGCCCUCCUCUUCUCUUUCCCUUAUCUAUUUUUAAAAAUAAUGAAUUCUCUUAUUUUUUUAAAAAAGAAUACAAAAUUUACUACAAGAAAUUAUACAGAAAGUAGCAUUUGCCACAAUUCCACCCCAGAGGUGGCCUCCUUGCCCCGUCUGAGCAUCCUGUGGACUGCCUCCAGGGUCAGGCGCGGCAGCAGGACUGGCUGGGCAGGAACGGCAGCUGGUUAUACUGUGCAAAUCCUUUAAAAAAUCAGACUUCCAUUUCACUUAAAUCCCCCACCAAAUGAAGUGAAGUUGGGUCAGCUGCUGGACUUUGAAUAGCUGAUGGCUGUAAGUUUAAACAAAGAUCGUCAAAAUUCUGGGAACUGGAGUCCUGGCGUGUUUCUGCAGAGGCAGUGAGCCGCGGCAGGGUUCCUUUCCUGCUCAGACACGAGCUACUCCUUCCAGCCCCCAAGCCUGCCUUUGUCUUAUAUUUAGAUCUUUUAUGAACUUUAUUUACAAGUACAAAUUGAUAAAUUGCUUACCAACAGGCUUUAAAAAAAAAAAACUCUGUUGUUCCACCUUUUGGACUCUUUAGACUGCAUUUCAAUACAGUUGUGAUCCCUCUCUGGA